AUUGAACGCUGGCGGCAUGCCUUACACAUGCAAGUCGAACGGAAACAGGUCUUGGGUUCCUGACGGGUGUCGAAGGGGGGAGUAAUACAUCGGAACGUGCCCCGACCCGGGGAAUAACGAGUCAAAAGCUGUGCUAAUACCUCAUACGAGCUAAGAUUGAAAGCAGGGGGCCGCAAGGCUUAGUGCGUGUGUAGCGGCCGAUGGCAGAUUAGGUAGUUGGUGGGGUAAAAGCUUACCAAGCCGACGAUCUCUAGCUGGUCUGAGAGGACGACCAGCCACACUGGAACUGAGACACGGCCCAGACUCCUACGGGAGGCAGCAGUGGGGAAUUUUGGACAAUGGGCGAAAGCCUGAUCCAGCAAUGCCGCGUGAAGGAUGAAGGCCUUCGGGUUGUAAAAUGCUUUUGUACGGAAAGAAAAGGUUCUGGCUAAUACCUGGGGAACAUGACGGUACCGUAAGAAUAAGCACCGGCUAACUACGUG
rnacentral:rRNA from 1 species